ACAGGUAUAGCUCAGAGGCAGAGCAUGUGCUUAGCAUGCAUGAGGUCCUGGCUUCAAUCCUCAAUGCCUCUA
rnacentral:tRNA from 1 species